CAUGCACAUGCUUAGAGUUACUCAACAAGUUCCAUAACAGCUUAUGUUUCGCAGGAUCUCUUAGAUUUAAGCUGCUUUAAUGCUAGAUUCCCUCCCUCAGCGUAAAAGGUAAGCUUUCCAGUACUUUGGGAUAACAAAAUACAUUUAAAUGCAAUAUUGA
rnacentral:lncRNA from 1 species